GGUCUAUUAGUCUAGUUGGUUAGGACGUCGGAUUCUGACAUCUCCUUUGAGUUGGAACCUUCCGUAAGCCCAGGUUCGAAUCCUGGAUGGACCU
rnacentral:tRNA from 1 species